rnacentral:rRNA from 1 species
AUACAGAGGGUGCGAGCGUUAAUUGGAAUUACUGGGCGUAAAGCGCGCGUAGGCGGUCUAUUAAGUCAGAUGUGAAAUCCCAGGGCUCAACCUUGGAACUGCAUCUGAUACUGGUAGACUAGAGUUUUGGAGAGGGAAGUAGAAUUUCAGGUGUAGCGGUGAAAUGCAUAGAGAUCUGAAGGAAUACCAGUGGCGAAGGCGACUUCCUGGCCAAAAACUGACGCUGAGGUGCGAAAGCGUGGGUAGCAAACGGGAUUAGAAACCCUAGUAGUCC